UACGGAGGGUGCGAGCGUUGUCCGGAAUCAUUGGGCGUAAAGGGCGCGUAGGUGGCCCGGUCAGUUCGUGGUGAAAGCGCGGGGCUCAACCCUGCGUCGGCCAUGAAUACUGCCGCGGCUGGAGCACUGUAGAGGCAGGCGGAAUUCCGGGUGUAGCGGUGGAAUGCGUAGAUAUUCGCAAGAACACCAGUGGCGAAGGCGGCUCACUGGCCCGAUACUGACGCUGAGGCACGAAAGCGUGGGGAGCAAACAGG
rnacentral:rRNA from 1 species